GCUCUCCCUGGCUAUACAUAUACUAAAAUUGGAAUGAUACAGAGAAGAUUUGUGUGGCCCUGUACAUGGAAGACACAAAUUCAAGAAGUAUUCUGUGUUGUG